rnacentral:rRNA from 1 species
UGAGGAACAUGACCUUCGGCGGGGAUAGCCGGACCCAAACGGCCGGGUAAUACCGCGUACGACCACAUGGGGACAUCCCUGAGUGGUGAAAGCAGCAAUGCGCCGAUGGAGUGCCUCGCGGCCUAUCAGCUAGUUGGUGAGGUAACGGCUCACCAAGGCGACGACGGGUAGCUGGUCUGAGAGGAUGGCCAGCCACAUUGGGACUGAGACACGGCCCAGACCUNUACGGGAGG